rnacentral:rRNA from 1 species
AUUGAACGCUGGCGGCAGGCCUAACACAUGCAAGUCGAGCGAGCGGCGGACGGGUGAGUAAUGUAUGGGGAUCUGCCCGAUAGAGGGGUAUAACUACUGGAAACGGUGGCUACUACCGCAUAAUACCGGUUGAACCCUUAUGGGAUUAGCUAGUAGGUGGGGUAAAGGCUCACCUAGGCGACGAUUUCUAGCUGGUCUGAGAGGAUGAUCAGCCACACUGGGACUGAGACACGGCCCAGACUCCUACGGGAGGCAGCAGUGGGGAAUAUUGGACAAUGGGCGCAAGCCUGAUGCAGCCAUGCCGCGUGUAUGAAGAAGGCCUUAGGGUUGUAAAGUACUGUCGGCAGGGAGGCGUUACCCGCAGAGGAAGCACCGGCUAACUCCGUGCCAGCCGCCGCGGUAAUAC